rnacentral:rRNA from 1 species
GACGAACCGUGCGAACGUUGUUCGGAAUCACUGGGCCUAAAGGGCGCGUAGGCGGCUUUUCAAGUCAGGGGUGAAAUCCGGCAGCUUAACUGUCGAAGUGCCCUUGAUACUGAUGAGCUCGAGGGAGGUAGGGGUAUGUGGAACUUCCGGUGGAGCGGUGAAAUGCGUUGAUAUCGGAAGGAACGCCGGUGGCGAAAGCGACGUACUGGACCUCUUCUGACGCUGAGGCGCGAAAGCUAGGGGAGCAAACGGG